rnacentral:rRNA from 1 species
AUAGAAAAGAUAUUUUAACCUCAACUGAUAGUAUGGCGGUUGCUGGCCCGAUCAGAGGCACAUGCCGAUAAACGAAACUGCACGAACACCUUACUUCUUCUUUUAGCUCGUUUAUAUUACUUGCUAAUAAUUUUGUACAUCGCUGUUUUUAGGUUAGAUGCUCAAGUUUAGCCCUUUUCUUUGAAGCUGGACUACAGUUUAUUCUUUGGUCCUAUUGAGGAAAACAACAAGUCAAGACACAGAGAAUGGAGAAGACCAAGUGUGUGUCACCGCUAAUGAAUUUAUUACUUCACUCUUUUCUGAAUCACCGAAACAGAGGGAAAAGAAUCUGAUAGUAAGGACACAUUCAUCAAAUUGUCCUGAACUGGUAACCAGUAGCGUACACACC